CGGCACUGUACCGGUACAGGCCCGAUGGCUGUACCGGUACAACCAUCAACAUUGUACCGGUACAAGACCAUCCUUGUACCGGUACAAGACCUGCGAAAAUGCAAACCGAGGCUCGGGUUUGCGAGUUCUCGGCUCUGUACCGGUACAAGCACAACCUUGUACCGGUACAAGCCCGCCAGACAGCCAAUCCGAGAGCUGACCAAAAUCCAAAUUUUUGGGUUUUGGUGCAAGGCUUCGUACCACACUCCUCGGGACACGUGCCAUAGGUCGGAACACAGUCAACGACCUACCAGCAAGUCUGGAAAAGCUCAGAACACGACCAAUCACUCGAACCUCGCAAUUUGCAAAG
rnacentral:lncRNA from 1 species